GCCUAGUUAGCUUAGUUGGUAUGGUAGUGCGUCUGCUUUGUAAGCGCUAGGCCGCGGGUUCGAUUCCCGCCCGGGGCA
rfam:Asian citrus Psyllid, Diaphorina citri - Florida Strain, whole genome shotgun sequence.